CCCGUGUGGCGCAAUUGGUUAGCGCGUCAGACUUUUAAUCUGAAUGUUGCGAGUUCGAGUCUCGCCAUGGGCGA
rnacentral:tRNA from 1 species